UUCUGCUACAACGUAAAGCUUGGUUCGCAUGGGCGUUUUUUCAACGCGCAUUGGAAAUGCGUUAUAUCCUUUCACAAGGCAAUAUAUAAUCGCAUUUUGAGCCGUGUGAUUGUCACGUUUAUAGAAAGCGAUAAUACGCAAAACAUUCAUUUACAGAUCCCAACAGCUUUAAAAGGAUUUGCAUAACAAUAUGUUUUAGAUAUUGUAUAGCAACAUAGUCAAGGGACAGUAGUCAAUAUGCUCUCAUGAUCAUGACUCCACCCAGAAAGCACAGACACGAGGCUGUCAUUGUGUAACCACGUGAGCUAAGCACAAAAUAUAGAAUGCUCAAAUAUAA